GGAGGAAGCCCCGGCUAAAUACGUGCCAGCAGCCGCGGUAAUACGUAUGGGGCAAGCGUUAUCCGGAAUUAUUGGGCGUAAAGAGUGCGUAGGUGGUGGCUUAAGCGCAGGGUUUAAGGCAAUGGCUUAACUAUUGUUCGCCUUGCGAACUGGGUCACUUGAGUACAGGAGAGGAAAGCGGAAUUCCUAGUGUAGCGGUGAAAUGCAUAGAUAUUAGGAGGAACACCGGUGGCGAAGGCGGCUUUCUGGACUGCAACUGACACUGAGGCACGAAAGCGUGGGUAGCAAACAGGAUUAGAUACCCUGGUAGUCCACGCCGUAAACGAUGAGCACUAGGUGUCGGCCAAUAAAGGUCGGUGCCGCAGUUAACGCAUUAAGUGCUCCGCCUGGGGAGUACGCACGCAAGUGUAAAACUCAAAGGAAUUGACGGGGACCCGCACAAGCAGCGGAGCAUGUGGUUUAAUUCGAAGCAACGCGAAGAACCUUACCAGAGCUUGACAUCCCUCUGACAGAUCCUUAAUCGGAUUUUUCUUCGGACAGAGGAGACAGGUGGUGCAUGGUUGUCGUCAGCUCGUGUCGUGAGAUGUUGGGUUAAGUCCCGCAACGAGCGCAACCCUUAUCAUUAGUUGCCAUCAUUAAGUUGGGCACUCUAGUGAGACUGCCGGGGACAACUCGGAGGAAGGUGGGGAUGACGUCAAAUCAUCAUGCCCCUUAUGUUCUGGGCUACACACGUGCUACAAUGGUCGGUACAGAAAGCAGCGAAACCGUGAGGUGAAGCCAAUCUCCAAAACCGAUCUCAGUUCGGAUUGUAGGCUGCAACUCGCCUACAUGAAGUCGGAGUUGCUAGUAAUCGCAGAUCAGAAUGCUGCGGUGAAUGCGUUCCCGGGUCUUGUACACACCGCCCGUCACACCAUGGAAGUUGGGGGUGCCCGAA
rnacentral:rRNA from 1 species